GAUACUACCCUUGACUUAUGGUUACUCUAACCCGCUGGCAUAAUCGGCCAGGGAGACAGUGUCUGACGGACAGUUUGACUGGGGCGGUCGCCUCCUAAAGAGUAACGGAGGCGCUCAAAGGUUGGCUCAGAUUGGUUGGAAAUCAAUCGUAGAGUGUAAAGGUAAAAGCCAGCUUGACUGCGAGAGCUACAACUCGAGCAGGUAGGAAACUAGGACUUAGUGAUCCGGUGGUACCGCAUGGAAGGGCCAUCGCUCAACGGAUAAAAGCUACCCUGGGGAUAACAGGCU
rnacentral:rRNA from 1 species